rnacentral:rRNA from 1 species
GUCUAUGGCCAUGCCACCCUGAACAAGCCCGAUGUCUGAUCUUGGAAGCUAAGCAGGGUCGGGCUUGGUUAAUACUUAGAUGGGAGACCACCUAAGAAGACUAGGUGCUGUAGGCA